UCAGAAUGAACGCUGGCGGCAUGGCUAAGACAUGCAAGUCGAACGGACCAUAUAAUUGGGUAACCGAAAGUAUGGUUAGUGGCAAAAGGGUGAGGAAUAGAUAGGAACGUACCCUGUGCUCUGGGAUAGCGUCUGAAGCUUCGGCUUCUUCCGAAAGGGGCGGUAAUACCAGAUAAUGUCCUUCGGGACCAAAGAUUUAUCGGCAUUGGAGCGGCCUAUCUCCUAUCAGCUUGUUGGUGAGGUAACGGCUCACCAAGGCAACGACGGGUAGCGGGACUGAGAGGUUGGCCCGCCACAUCGGGACUGAGACACUGCCCGGACCUCCACGGAGGGCUGCAGUAACGGAUAUUGGGCAAUGGGCGAAAGCCUGACCCAGCAAUGCCGCGUGCAGGAUGAAGCCCCUAGGGGUGUAAACUGCUGUCAGGGGUCAGAAAGCUGGUUUCGGCCAGUUGAUCAACCCCAGAGGAAGUCACGGCUAACUUCGUGCCAGCAGCCGCGGUAAUACGAAGGUGGCAAGCGUUAUUCGGAAUCAUUGGGCUUAAAGGGCACGCAGGCGGAACAGUGUGUGUUGUGUGAAAUCCCCCGGCUUAACCGGGGAAUUGCACAGCAAACUGCUGUUCUUGAGGCAGGUAGGGGUGCAUGGAACUCUUGGUGGAGCGGUGGAAUGCGUAGAUAUCAAGAGGAACGCCAGAGGUGAAGACGGUGCACUGGGCCUGUCCUGACGCUGAGGUGCGAAAGCGUGGGGAGCGAACGGGAUUAGAUACCCCGGUAGUCCACGCCGUAAACGAUGUCUACUAGGUCGUGGGUGUUCUGACACAUUCACGGCCGGAGCAAAAGUGUUUAGUAGACCGCCUGGGGAGUACGGCCGCAAGGUUAAAACUCAAAUGAAUUGACGGGGGC
rnacentral:rRNA from 1 species